rnacentral:rRNA from 1 species
AGUGAACGCUGGCGGUAGGCCUAACACAUGCAAGUCGAACGGCAGCACAGUAAGAGCUUGCUCUUACGGGUGGCGAGUGGCGGACGGGUGAGGAAUACAUCGGAAUCUACUUUUUCGUGGGGGAUAACGUGGGGAAACUUACGCUAAUACCGCAUACGACCUACGGGUGAAAGCAGGGGAUCUUCGGACCUUGCGCGAUUGAAUGAGCCGAUGUCGGAUUAGCUAGUUGGCGGGGUAAAGGCCCACCAAGGCGACGAUCCGUAGCUGGUCUGAGAGGAUGAUCAGCCACACUGGAACUGAGACACGGUCCAGACUCCUACGGGAGGCAGCAGUGGGGAAUAUUGGACAAUGGGCGCAGGCCUGAUCCAGCCAUACCGCGUGGGUGAAGAAGGCCUUCGGGUUGUAAAGCCCUUUUGUUGGGAAAGAAAAGCAGCAGGUUAAUACCCCGCUGUUCUGACGGUACCCAAAGAAUAAGCACCGGCUAACUUCGUG